GCCGGCUGGGCCUCCACUUAGAGGAGGUCAUGAAGCUGUUCUCCACGCCGACGACGCCGACGCCACGCCGAGGGCAGUGAGGGCGUCGUGGCAGCGCGCGGCUUUGAGCUCCGACAGUCUGCGCGCCGGCAGCUAGGGGGCCUGGCCCGUAGAGACGCGGCCUCGGUCCGACACGUCUCGCAGUAGCUGUCGAGGAGCCGGCCCCCUUGGGGUCUGAGCCGUGCCGCACGCUCUUCUGCGGCCAGAAAACCAAGGUGAGAAAUGCAAGGAAUUGAAAUCAAGAAAAUGCUUUUGUGAUAAGCAUCCCUAAGUAUGUGGUAUCCCUGUCAACUGUGCUCGGCAUAAUUCCUCAUCCAAGAAUUGCUACUCAGCAGCUUUCCAAGGCUGGGUCCUUCUGCCUGCAGUGAAUGACUCCCCAGAUUCUUGGGUCUUAGAAAUUGUUAUGGACUGAAUUAUGUUCCUCCCAAAUCCAUAUGUUAAAAUACCUCAGAUGGUGACUGUAUUUGGAGACAUGGCCUUUAAAGAGAUAAUUAACGUAAGAUGAGUUCGUAUGGGUGAACCCUGACCCAGUGUGGUGAGUUUAUAAGAGGAGAUUAGGCCACAGGCGUAUACAGAAAACCACAUGAAGACAGAGAGAAGAGUGUCCACUACAAGCCAAGGAGGGAGCCUUCUGAAGAAAUCAACACUGUGGACAUCGUGAUCUCAGGCUUCUAGACUCCAGAACUGUAAGGAAGCAAACUUCUGUUGUUUAAGUCACCCAGUCUGUCUACUUAUUACGGCAGCCCGAGCUUACGAAGACAGGAAUCUUCCUGGAAUACAGGAUGCUUUGUGAGUCAUGGUCCUUCUGUCUCAAGAGGCUGACUCUGCUGGGCAUGUGGAUUAGUCUUUAAUAUAUGAGAGGGCUUUAUGCACAGACAGGAACACCCACAAUGAUAUGAACUUUACUUAAUGUUCAACGGAUUGAGCAUUUAUGCAUUAAUAGAAAAUUUGAUUGAAUUCCCUUAACUUUGACUGAAACUGAAAAUCUAAUAUGAUUGAUUCUUUUGAAUAUUUCAAUACCUUAGAUAGCAGACAACAUACACAAAUAUAACAAGACUUAUUAUAUUUAACUUUAAACUAUUCUAUAUAUCAAAUGCCAUAUGUUGAGUUUAUUUCUUCAUUAAAGUUGCUUUAUACAUUCCUAGCAUUAUGGAUGAUCUUACUUUGGCAUCUUCCUAAUGUUCAAUAAUAUUAGUUUGAUAUGUUCUAGGUCACAAUUCUCAGACCCCAAAACUCACUGAGGUUCUGAAUUUUUUUUUUACCAUUUCUUGGAGCACAAAAUUCAGUUUUUCCCCAACUAAUUAAAAUCCAACCAUUAAGUACAAUACUGAGCCCCUUUU